UUGGCUUGUAUAAGUACCAAGAUUUACUCUGCGCAUAGCUAUUCUGGGACUAAACGCAUGCCUACACAAGUCCUCACAAAAGCCUUCUUCGAGUAUGAUCACAAUAUAAUCAUAUAAUUAGAUAGAUAGAAUAAUAAGCUAAUCUUUUAAAGAAAAACAAGCGAUUGGGAUGGAAAGUCAAUGAGAACCAAGAAAAACAAAAAACAAAUAGAUUUAGAAUCAAGAUUAAAUUCAAUGAGACAAUGACCUUAGGUUUGGAAAAAAAUAGAUGGGAAAUAAAUUAGAUAUCAGUUUCUGAUGGAGUUGCUCUAAAUUCUUGCGGUGAUGGAGACCGCAACAUCGAAGAGUGAAGACAGUAGAAGUGAGAACAAACUACAAAGAUAAAUGGUGGAGAGGAGGGUUUAGGAAUUUGGAGGCGGGAUAGUUUAGAAGUUG
rnacentral:lncRNA from 1 species